rnacentral:misc_RNA from 1 species
UCAAACUUGGUCAUUUAGAGGAAGUAAAAGUCGUAACAAGGUCUCCGUAGGUGAACCUGCGGAGGGAUCAUUACUGAAUUUGAAGGGCCCUCGUGGCCCUCCAAACACACAAAAACCUGUGGAAGACACAUGUGCUUCAGCGCCCUUUUGGGCGCUGCCUUCAUGCCUCAGUCUGACUUUGCGUCUGAAUUUAAAACUUGAAAAUGAAAACUUUCAACAAAGGAUCUCUUGGCUCUCGCAUCGAUGAAGAACGCAGC